GACGAACGCUGGCGGCGUGCUUAACACAUGCAAGUCGAACGGAAAGGCCCUGCUUUUGUGGGGUGCUCGAGUGGCGAACGGGUGAGUAACACGUGAGUAACCUGCCCUUGACUUUGGGAUAACUUCAGGAAACUGGGGCUAAUACCGGAUAGGAGCUCCUGCUGCAUGGUGGGGGUUGGAAAGUUUCGGCGGUUGGGGAUGGACUCGCGGCUUAUCAGCUUGUUGGUGGGGUAGUGGCUUACCAAGGCUUUGACGGGUAGCCGGCCUGAGAGGGUGACCGGCCACAUUGGGACUGAGAUACGGCCCAGACUCCUACGGGAGGCAGCAGUGGGGAAUAUUGCACAAUGGGCGGAAGCCUGAUGCAGCAACGCCGCGUGCGGGAUGACGGCCUUCGGGUUGUAAACCGCUUUCGCCUGUGACGAAGCGUGAGUGACGGUAAUGGGUAAAGAAGCACCGGCUAACUACGUGCCGGCAGCCGCGGUGAUACGUAGGGUGCGAGCGUUGUCCGGAUUUAUUGGGCGUAAAGGGCUCGUAGGUGGUUGAUCGCGUCGGAAGUGUAAUCUUGGGGCUUAACCCUGAGCGUGCUUUCGAUACGGGUUGACUUGAGGAAGGUAGGGGAGAAUGGAAUUCCUGGUGGAGCGGUGGAAUGCGCAGAUAUCAGGAGGAACACCAGUGGCGAAGGCGGUUCUCUGGGCCUUUCCUGACGCUGAGGAGCGAAAGCGUGGGGAGCGAACAGGCUUAGAUACCCUGGUAGUCCACGCUGUAAACGGUGGGUACUAGGUGUGGGGUCCAUUCCACGGGUUCCGUGCCGUAGCUAACGCUUUAAGUACCCCGCCUGGGGAGUACGGCCGCAAGGCUAAAACUCAAAGGAAUCGACGGGGCCCCGCACAAGCGGCGGAGCAUGCGGAUUAAUUCGAUGCAACGCGUAGAACCUUACCUGGGUUUGACAUGGAUCGGGAGUGCUCAGAGAUGGAUGUGCCUCUUUUGGGGUCGGUUCACAGGUGGUGCAUGGCUGUCGUCAGCUCGUGUCGUGAGAUGUUGGGUUAAGUCCCGCAACGAGCGCAACCCUUGUUCACUGUUGCCAGCACGUUAUGGUGGGGACUCAGUGGAGACCGCCGGGGUCAACUCGGAGGAAGGUGGGGAUGACGUCAAGUCAUCAUGCCCCUUAUGUCCAGGGCUUCACGCAUGCUACAAUGGCUGGUACAGAGAGUGGCGAGCCUGUGAGGGUGAGCGAAUCUCGGAAAGCCGGUCUCAGUUCGGAUUGGGGUCUGCAACUCGACCUCAUGAAGUCGGAGUCGCUAGUAAUCGCAGAUCAGCAACGCUGCGGUGAAUACGUUCCCGGGGCU
rnacentral:rRNA from 1 species